rnacentral:misc_RNA from 1 species
CUUGACAAUUGGAGGAACAAUGCGAUCUAAAACAGUGACAUAUGCAUCAACCCUACGGUCUGCAAACUUGAGAACCUUGUUGGGAACAGGUUGGAACUUAUUAUAGACGGGUCUAACCACGCUCUUAAACCUACUCUCAACAGUAUUGACGCCAGGCUUGAAUGGACCAGACUUGUCCUUGGCAAAAAGGUAGAGCUUUGAGAAAGAAGCCCUGGCAUAAACUGUAGCCGCUUGCACAAAAUCCAAAUACUUUAGGCUCUCUUCCUCCUUAUUAGCCUCUUCUUCGAUAUUCGCCUCUUCUUGGAUAUUCUCCUCUCCUUUAUUCGUCUCUUCUUGGAUAUUCGCCUCUUCUUGGG